rnacentral:lncRNA from 1 species
GUUGUGAGCAACACGUAAAGACUGAGAAACUGCAACUUAACAGAGGAAUCUACGGAGACAGAUGACUAAAUGCAAGAUGGUAUCCUGAAUUGGAUUAUGGGACAGUAAAAGCAUUAGUGGAAAUCUGGUGGAAUCUUGGUAAAGUAUAUGGAUAGCCUGGCCUGGAAUAUAAGAACCAGAAGAGUGCUUGGAUUCUAAAUCAGGACUGUGAAUGAAGACUUAGGGCCAUACGGGCCCAUUGUGGCCUUUCAUCAUUAGCGAUGUCAUUCUGAUUCCAGGAACUGUCAACCUCGUGGAAAGCAAGAGGACUAGGAAUUUUGAGAAAGAUUUCUAGACUUCUCAAACAAAAUCUAGGUGGACAUACUAUUUCCUGAAUAGAGCCUUAAUCAAUAUGGUACUGAGGGGAAAAAAGGACAAUUAACAUUAGACCCAAUAAAUUUAAUCCUGUGUGACA